rnacentral:tRNA from 1 species
GCCGAGGUAGCCAAGCCCGGACAACGGCGCUGGUCUUGAAAACCAGUGUGCUAUGCACUCAUGAGUUCAAAUCUCAUCCUCGGCGCCA